rnacentral:rRNA from 1 species
AUACGUAGGGUGCAAGCGUUAAUCGGAAUUACUGGGCGUAAAGCGUGCGCAGGCGGUUUUGUAAGACAGUGGUGAAAUUCCCGGGCUCAACCUGGGAACUGCCAUUGUGACUGCAAGGCUGGAGUGCGGCAGAGGGGGGUGGAAUUCCGCGUGUAGCAGUGAAAUGCGUAGAUAUGCGGAGGAACACCGAUGGCGAAGGCAAGCCCCUGGGCCUACUCUGACGCUAAUGCACGAAAGCGUGGGGAGCAAACAGGAUUAGAUACCCUGGUAGUCCACGCCCUAAACGAUGUCAACUGGUUGUGGGGGAUUUAUUUUCUCAGUAACGAAGCUAACGCGUGAAGUUGACCGCCUGGGGAGUACGGCCGCAAGGUUAAAACUCAAAUGAAUUGACGGGG